CGUACACUCCUGCGGGAGGCAGCAGUGGGGAAUAUUGGACAAUGGGCGCAAGCCUGAUCCAGCCAUGCCGCGUGAGUGAUGAAGGCCCUAGGGUUGUAAAGCUCUUUCACCGGUGAAGAUAAUGACGGUAACCGGAGAAGAAGCCCCGGCUAACUUCGUGCCAGCAGCCGCGGUAAUACGAAGGGGGCUAGCGUUGUUCGGAUUUACUGGGCGUAAAGCGCACGUAGGCGGACUAUUAAGUCAGGGGUGAAAUCCCGGGGCUCAACCCCGGAACUGCCUUUGAUACUGGUAGUCUUGAGUUCGAGAGAGGUGAGUGGAAUUCCGAGUGGAGAGGUGAAAUUCGUAGAUAUUCGGAGGAACACCAGUGGCGAAGGCGGCUCACUGGCUCGAUACUGACGCUGAGGUGCGAAAGCGUGGGGAGCAAACAGGAUUAGAAACCCUUGUAGUCCC
rnacentral:rRNA from 1 species